rnacentral:rRNA from 1 species
UACGAAGGGUGCAAACGUUGCUCGGAAUUACUGGGCGUAAAGCGCGUGUAGGCGGCUAUGCAAGUCGGAUGUGAAAGCCCUCGGCUCAACCGGGGAAGUGCACCCGAAACUGCAAAGCUAGAGUCUCGGAGAGGAUCGUGGAAUUCUCGGUGUAGAGGUGAAAUUCGUAGAUAUCGAGAGGAACACCGGUGGCGAAGGCGGCGAUCCGGACGAUGACUGACGCUGAGACGCGAAAGCGUGGGGAGCAAACAGG